CCAGAAUCCUACAAAGGGACACACAGGGGUGGGUGGCAACCUAGUUGGAAAUGGGAGUGAUGGGCAUGACUAAAGUCUUCCUCAUCCCACCAGAGGCGCACUCAACUGUGGCUAGGGUGACCAGAAUUCACUGUCCAGCGUGGCUGGCAGGAGCCCACUCUCUGAAGAUGGUGGGAUUCAGAGGUGGGAGUAGAGUUGGGUGGUCUUGUGAGCUGAGCACUCUCCCAAAAGUGUCCCCUACGUAUGAGGUUGACAGUUUAUUCCUGCAGGGACUCAGGAGUAACUCUGGGUGCUAAAACAAAACUUGAGACCAGCACAGAAACAGCCAGCCCGUGAAGCUGGCCUCCCAUCACACAGCAAGGCUAGCCAGAUGCCCCUCACUCUUCUCGGGCACCAUUCUUCUCCUCCCCUAGGCCGCCUGGUGCUCGUGGUGUUUCAUGUUUGUUAGUCCACGCACGGUGGUGAGGGAGGCUGCUGUGUGAUUUGCCCCAGCCACAGCCUCUACUCAAAAGCAACUGGAAGAAGACAGCAGCAGAGGGCGCUUCUUCAAACACCCUGUCCAACUCCUGGCACUGACAAGUACUGAGCAAACUCAAACCCUCUGUAAAGUAACGGAAGUUAGAAGGGGGAAAUGUUACCUCUCUGAAGAUUAUCCAAAGAAAAACGGAGUGAUUUCUCAUUGCUUUAUAGACUGUAAGAAGAGAACAUCUCAGAAGUGGAGUCUUACCCUGAAAUCAAAGGAUUUAAAGAAAAAGUGGAAUUUUUCUUCAGCAAGCUGUGAAACUAAAUCCACAACCUUUGGAGACCCAGGAACACCCUCCAAUCUCUGUGUGUUUUGUAAACAUCACUGGAGGGUCUUCUACGUGAGCAAUUGGAUUGUCAUCAGCCCUGCCUGUUUUGCACCUGGGAAGUGCCCUGGUCUUACUUGGGUCCAAAUUGUUGGCUUUCACUUUUGACCCUAAGCAUCUGAAGCCAUGGGCCACACACGGAGGCAGGGAACAUCACCAUCCAAGUGUCCAUACCUCAAUUUCUUUCAGCUCUUGGUGCUGGCUGGUCUUUCUCACUUCUGUUCAGGUGUUAUCCACGUGACCAAGGAAGUGAAAGAAGUGGCAACGCUGUCCUGUGGUCACAAUGUUUCUGUUGAAGAGCUGGCACAAACUCGCAUCUACUGGCAAAAGGAGAAGAAAAUGGUGCUGACUAUGAUGUCUGGGGACAUGAAUAUAUGGCCCGAGUACAGGAACCGGACCAUCUUUGAUAUCACUAAUAACCUCUCCAUUGUGAUCCUGGCUCUGCGCCCAUCUGAUGAGGGCACAUACGAGUGUGUUGUUCUGAAGUAUGAAAAAGACGCUUUCAAGCGGGAACACCUGGCUGAAGUGACGUUAUCGGUCAAAGCUGACUUCCCUACACCUAGUAUAUCUGACUUUGAAAUUCCAACUUCUAAUAUUAGAAGGAUAAUUUGCUCAACCUCUGGAGGUUUUCCAGAGCCUCACCUCUCCUGGUUGGAAAAUGGAGAAGAAUUAAAUGCCAUCAACACAACAGUUUCCCAAGAUCCUGAAACUGAGCUCUAUGCUGUUAGCAGCAAACUGGAUUUCAAUAUGACAACCAACCACAGCUUCAUGUGUCUCAUCAAGUAUGGACAUUUAAGAGUGAAUCAGACCUUCAACUGGAAUACAAAGGUCAACUCUGGUAAUCACUUGAUGUCUCCAUUCAAUCUGGUGUUUUAGAGAAAAAAGAAAAACCAACUCUCCUGUCUUUAAGUGCCAAGCAAGAGCAUUUUCCUGAUAACCUGCUCCCAUCCUGGGCCAUUAUCUUAAUCUCAGUAAAUGGAAUUUUUGUGAUAUGCUGCCUGACCUACUGCUUUGCCCCAAGAUGCAGAGAGAGAAGGAGGAAUGAGAGAUUGAGAAGGGAAAGUGUACGCCCUGUAUAACAGUAUCCGCAGAAGCAAGGGGCUGAAAAGAUCUGAAGGUCCCACCUCCAUUUGCAAUUGACCUCUUCUGGGAACUUCCUCAGAUGGACAAGAUUACCCCACCUUGCCCUUUACGUAUCUGCUCUUAGGUGCUUCUUCACUUCAGUUGCUUUGCAGGAAGUGUCUAGAGGAAUAUGGUGGGCACAGAAGUAGCUCUGGUGACCUUGAUCAAGGGGUUUUGAAAUGCAGAAUUCUUGAGUUCUGGAUGGGACUUUAGAGAAUACCAGUGUUAUUAAUGACAAAGGCACUGAGGCCCAGGGAGGUGACCCGAAUUAUAAAGGCCAGCGCCAGAACCCAGAUUUCCUAACUCUGGUGCUCUUUCCCUUUAUCAGUUUGACUGUGGCCUGUUAACUGGUAUAUACAUAUAUAUGUCAGGCAAAGUGCUGCUGGAAGUAGAAUUUGUCCAAUAACAGGUCAACUUCAGAGACUAUCUGAUUUCCUAAUGUCAGAGUAGAAGAUUUUAUGCUGCUGUUUACAAAAGCCCAAUGUAAUGCAUAGGAAGUAUGGCAUGAACAUCUUUAGGAGACUAAUGGAAAUAUUAUUGGUGUUUACCCAGUAUUCCAUUUUUUUCAUUGUGUUCUCUAUUGUUGCUCUCUCACUCCCCCAUGAGGUACAGCAGAAAGGAGAACUAUCCAAAACUAAUUUCCUCUGACAUGUAAGACGAAUGAUUUAGGUACGUCAAAGCAGUAGUCAAGGAGGAAAGGGAUAGUCCAAAGACUUAACUGGUUCAUAUUGGACUGAUAAUCUCUUUAAAUGGCUUUACGCUAGUUUGACCUCAUUUGUAAAAUAUUUAUGAGAAAGUUCUCAUUUAAAAUGAGAUCGUUGUUUACAGUGUAUGUACUAAGCAGUAAGCUAUCUUCAAAUGUCUAACUUUCCAUAGGGCCUCCUUAGAUCCCUAAGAUGGCUUUUCCUCCUUGGUAUUUCUGGGUCUUUCUGACAUCAGCAGAGAACUGGAAAGACAUAGGCAACUGCUGUUCAUGUUACUCAUGACUCCUUUCUCUAAAACUGCCUUCCACAAUUCACUAGACCAGAAGUGGACGCAACUUAAGCUGGGAUCAUCACAUAAUCAUCUGAAAAUCUGGAGUUGAACAGCAAAAGAAGACAACAUUUCUCAAAUGCACAUCUCAUGGCAGCUAAGCCACAUGGCUGGGAUUUAAAGCCUUUAGAGCCAGCCCAUGGCUUUAGCUACCUCACUAUGCUGCUUCACAAACCUUGCUCCUGUGUAAAACUAUAUUCUCAGUGUAGGGCAGAGAGGUCUAACACCAACAUAAGGUACUAGCAGUGUUUCCCGUAUUGACAGGAAUACUUAACUCAAUAACUCUUUUCUUUUCCAUUUAGUAACAGUUGUGAUGACUAUGUUUCUAUUCUAAGUAAUUCCUGUAUUCUAUAGCAGAUACUUUGUCAGCAAUACUAAGGGAAGAAACAAAGUUGAAUCGUUUCUUUAAUAAUGCUGAUCUACUUUUUGUUGAAUUUGUAUUUUAUUUCAAGUGUCAAAGAAAUCAUCUUUGUUUAUUUAGAUGAAACCAAACACUACACAUUUACACUCACACUGCUUCCAGGACCCAAGGGUUUCACAGACCAUUUGCCUACCUGGUUCUUUCCUCUCCUCUUUCCAGUGAUUUCUAGAAUACCCUUUCAAAGGACCACAUGAAUAUACGAACUGUAAAAUUCAACUUUAAUCUUUUGCAAAAUGUUUUAUUUACUGCUUAAAGUCUAGGUGGGUGGAUAUAUUCAUGUAUGCAUAGAUUGAUAGAUUAAUACAAACAUAAGUAUGUAUUUAAAUUUAAGGAUAAGUAAAGUGAGAGUACAACAGCCCCAUUCUUAGUUAAAAAGAAAAGAAAAAGACAAGAGCAAGCCACUGCCACUACAGGUACCAGCACUUAAAUUUGUCAGCAGGCUGACCAAAGAGUGGCCUGUCUGUUGGCAUUCAACGGACAUGGCAGCUCCCUUCAACUCUCCAGUGAGUUUCAAGUUCAGAGCACUUUCAGUCCUUGUCUUGUUUAUCUAUUACUGAAGGGUUUCUAGGAAGGUUUAGCAGUGCUUCAAUUUUCUUAGCAUCAUUCUCAGGUUCAUUUUCCUGUAAACUACUUUCAAUUUUCUCAGGGAGGUGCUCAGUAACUUGUAGUCUGCCUUUCCUGUAAUCAAAUAAAAAGGAUAAAUCAAA